rnacentral:misc_RNA from 1 species
GCAUCUUCCUUGCGCCGGUGA